GCCCCUGUGGCUCAGUGGUAGAGCAUUGCACUUGUAUGCAUGAAACGAAGAUACAGAUAAUGCAAAGGUCCGUCGUUCAAUCCGGCGCGGGGGCA